AGACAUACCUGGCAGAGGAGAUAACAUGAUCACGAAGGUAGUUUCCCCAGGGCGAGGCUUAUCCCCUGCACUCCGGAUGUGCUGACCCCUGCUAUUUCCCCAAAUGUGGGAAACUCAACUGCAUAAUUUGUGGUAGAGGGGACUGCGUUCACGCUUUCCCCUG